rnacentral:rRNA from 1 species
CACUCCUACGGGAGGCAGCAGUGGGGAAUAUUGCACAAUGGGCGCAAGCCUGAUGCAGCCAUGCCGCGUGUGUGAAGAAGGCCUUCGGGUUGUAAAGCACUUUCAGUCGUGAGGAAGGUAGUGUAGUUAAUAGCUGCAUUAUUUGACGUUAGCGACAGAAGAAGCACCGGCUAACUCCGUGCCAGCAGCCGCGGUAAUACGGAGGGUGCGAGCGUUAAUCGGAAUUACUGGGCGUAAAGCGCAUGCAGGUGGUUUGUUAAGUCAGAUGUGAAAGCCCCGGGGCUCAACCUCGGAAUAGCAUUUGAAACUGGCAGACUAGAGUACUGUAGAGGGGGGUAGAAUUUCAGGUGUAGCGGUGAAAUGCGUAGAGAUCUGAAGGAAUACCGGUGGCGAAGGCGGCCCCCUGGACAGAUACUGACACUCAGAUGCGAAAGCGUGGGGAGCAAACAGGAUUAGAUACCCUGGUAG